rnacentral:rRNA from 1 species
CCCUACGGGGCGCAGCAGGGCGAAAACUCUACAAUGCAGGCAACUGCGAUAGGGGGACAUCGAGUGAUACCCACCUUGGGUAUCUGUCCCACCGUCUAAAAAACGGUGGUUAGCAAGGGCCGGGUAAGACCGGUGCCAGCCGCCGCGGUAAUACCGGCGGCUCGAGUGGUGGCCGAUAUUAUUGAGUCUAAAGGGUCCGUAGCCGGCUCCGCAAGUCCCCCGGGAAAUCCAGCGGCCCAACCGUUGGGCGCCCGUGGGAUACUACGUUGCUUGGGACUGGGAGAGGUGGGAGGUACUCGGGGGGUAGGGGUGAAAUCCUGUAAUCC